AGCGCACCUGAAUAUAAGCCGCACCCACUAACUUUAAAAAGGAAAAAAAAAAUUGUACAUAUAUAGGCCGCACUUGUCUGUAAGCUGCAGGUGUCCACGUUGUAACGUGAGAUAUUUACACAGAAAGAUGUUACACAGAUAGAUUUUUUUAACUUUUAAUUAAAUACAUACCGUAAAUGCUUUUUUUCCUGAACAGUGCAUGCCAAGCUUACGUGCAGCAGCUCUAUUUCCUUCUUCAACAGCCAGAUCGAUUGCCUUUAACUUGAAAGCUGCAUCAAAUGCAUUUCUUCGUGUGUUUUCCAUGAUGAGGGUGUGUGCAUGAAGCGUAAAAUGACUGAUCUGAAGAAUUUAGUGUGAGUGUGUUUGAUUUAAUUUGAACAAUUUCAUUGGUCCACUGUGACCUGUUCUGUAAUUUCAUUGGUCCGAUGUGACGAGGCUAAAUGUUUUGGCGGCAUGAAGCUCGUUAACCCGUAAAAAUCCAUAAAUUAGCCGCAUCAUUGUUUAAGCCGCAGUGUUCAAAGCGUGUGAAAAAAGUAGCGGCUUAUAGUCUGGAAAUUACGGUACAUGACAGUAUAUGCCUCCUUUGCAAACUCUUGAAAAGAAAGUCUUGCCUUCAGAAAUUGGACAUUUUCUCUGUUAUUGCAUUCCAAGACUUAAUAUUUUUGUUGAUAUUUAUGUUACAGAUAUUGCCGAACAAGCACAUGGACGUGAAUAUACUGUUGCCGGUUGCAGAGAGGCCAUCGGCAGCUACCUAAAAAAUGCCCCAGGCAGGAAAAGUGGCAAGAAACAUAUUAUGAGUGUUUAUGAUGAAGAGCUACGUGGGAUCUCCAGUGCGUCCUGCAAGAAUUGGGCCUGAGUCCAGUUCAGAUUCAAUUUUGUAAUCUCAUUCCUCUCCCUUGCGUGACAGCCUCCAAACAGUACAAUUCUAAUGAGCUUGAAUAUACGGGGAAUUCCAUUGGGUUUGAUGUCUGACUAAUUAAAGACCCACCUCUUCUAUGAACACCUAACCAACUCAUAAUAAAAAAAAAAUAUAAAAAAAAAAAAUGCACUUACACCUCUAGUCUGCACUUUGCUUCUUCUAGAAUUCAAUGAAUAGAUCUUGUAUGGUAGCUGCUCUUGUAUUGUUCUCUGCUUGAUAUAUCGCUUUGCUUGUAUCUUUCUUAUUUGUAAGUCGCUUUGGAUAAAAGCGUCUGCUAAGUGAAUGUAAUGUAAAUGUAAUAAAUUGUUUUCUUUGAUUAGCAAUACAUAUGUACUAUAUCUGGCUGUUUUGUGUGUUACAAUAUUGAAUGUCAUUUUUCAGCUAUUCACUUUGUCUGCAUUUACUAAAAUUCAUGCAUGUUUAUUAAAAAUAUUCACGGAGUUUGUUAAACUAUA
ensembl:lncRNA